UGGCAGUUAGCAGCUGAGAAGAUGAGG
rnacentral:piRNA from 1 species